CACGUAGGGCGCGAGCGUUGUCCGGAAUUACUGGGCGUAAAGGGCGCGUAGGCGGCCAACUAAGUCAGACGUGAAAUCCCUCGGCUCAACCGGGGAACUGCGUCUGAUACUGGAUGGCUUGAAUUCGGGAGAGGGAUGCGGAAUUCCAGGUGUAGCGGUGAAAUGCGUAGAUAUCUGGAGGAACACCGGUGGCGAAGGCGGCAUCCUGGACCGAGAUUGACGCUGAUGCGCGAAAGCCAGGGGAGCAAACGGG
rnacentral:rRNA from 1 species